rnacentral:rRNA from 1 species
UGCCAGCAGCCGCGGUAAUACGGAAGGGGCGAGCGUUAAUCGGAAUUACUGGGCGUAAAGCGCACGUAGGUGGCUUGGUAAGUCGGAUGUGAAAGCCCUGGGCUCAACCUGGGAAUGGCAUUCGAUACUGCAUGGCUAGAGUAUGGUAGAGGGAAGUGGAAUUUCCGGUGUAGCGGUGAAAUGCGUAGAUAUCGGAAGGAACACCGGUGGCGAAGGCAUCUCUCUGGGCCGAUAUUGACGCUGAGGCGCGAAGGCGUGGGUAGCGAACGGGAUUAGAUA